UCCUUGCUUUGUUGAAAGAGAACUUGAGCUUUCUUCUUUUACCCAUGAGCUCCCAAGUUUCCCUUGAGAUCUUCAGGCAUUGUAGCGGCACUUUGAGGCUUAGAAACACACACCAAAGCCAAGCCACAAUUGGGUCAAGCUGAAGCAAUUUGGAGUUAGGGUGCUUUGGGUUGGCCACUAGGGUAAGAGUUUGAGGUAUAUUGAUGGUUGGAAAUUCUGAGAUUUUAGUUUGGAAGUUGUUAGUGAAGAAAUGAAACUGAGUUAUGCUUAGAAAUCCUGGAACUUUCUGAAAACAGGAGUUUUGAGAUUUAUUCUGUUUUGGUGGAGUGGAAGGCUAAAAAAAAAAACAAAAAAACAAAAAAAAAAAAGUGUUGGUGAGCAAGGUUUGGCAAAUUGCUAGUUGUUGAAGAACUUCUAGUCAAGCUACAGGCGUAAUUCUGUCAAGGUUAAGGAGUUAAAGACAAGUUUGGGUAAUGUUUUAAUUAAAUCUUUCUGUAUGUUGGUGCUUGGGGAAAGGUUUGAGCCUUAGCAUCGUAUUCCUGGAUAUCUGAUCAGCUUUAGGUAAGCAUUCUGUCGUUCUCUAUUUCUGCUCGUGAAUUUCUGUUUCUCUGUGAGUAUGCUUCUGUUAUUUGCUUAUGGACUUCUGAGGCUGUUAUUCUGUUUCCACAUGUCUGAUAGCACCUAAGAGAAUUGGCAUGAGAAAUAGUUCUAAAAUACACCUGAUAUUUGUUAUGCCUGGCAUGCAGCAUAUGCUUCGAUGAACCGGUUAUGAUUUUGAUUCUGUUCAGGUAAAUAGGUUAGAAAAUGUAAGGGCAGUGACUUGGAUAAUACUUGUUCUGGUUAAAAAAAAUAACUAAACUCUCCCGUUUCCGCAUGUUUAGUUCCGCACCUACUCACUGAGUUAUGAAAGACUCAUCCCAAUUAAUUGUUGCCUUGUGCAAAUAUAUAUAGCUUUUGGGGACUUUCGCUUGGAAGCAAGUAGCUUGCAUCUGUUCUGUAGGCUGAUUUUGGCAUCCGAUAGGGACACCCAACCUGUUGUGUCCACUCUGCUGAUUCUGGUCUCAGACGUUUCUGGUUUUGUGGGCGACUGUGUUGCCGGUUAUUUCCGUUAGCUUAUUUUGAGAGGGAUUUAGCCCAGUAUAUAAGCACUUCUGUUUUUAUUUAUGCACGUGCACAUUGACUUACGUAUCAAUGUGCGAGGAAUGUGCAUAUAUAUACAUAUAUAUGUUUUGUACAUGUAAGUAUACGUAAAUGAAUUGUUUUAUAAGUUGCAAACAUUUGGAGUAAGUAUAUUAUCUAAAUUUCAGUCUUGUCACACACAUACAAAUGGAUUUUGUGUGCUAUAUUUGUUAAUCCGAUGUCCAAUUUUUGAGGUUGGCUUGGUUCUGGCGGGUUUCACCUGUAAGAUCCUUGUGCCGAUAACGGCCUUAAGUUUGGGUCGGUACAUCGAAAAUGAACGAAAAUUGAAAAAAAUAUUUUGUUUAAAUUAAAUUAUUAUAUACAUGAAGCAUUUUCAAAUUAAUUGAUAGUGAAUCAAGAAAUCAUAUUUCAUUCCUAAUAAAGGAAAGAAGGGAAAUGCUUCUCUUUCCUUAUGGUACGUAUUUUGAAUUGGAAUGCUCUAUUUUUGUUUUUCUUUUACAUUGUCAUAGCUCAUUGCUUGUUUUUAACACAAACACAUUUUCUUUUUUGGAUUAAAAUUUAUUAAUUUGAAAGUUUUAAAAUAAUUUUUUUUCCUUACUUGUCACUCUUCACCUAAAAAAAUUAUCAAAAUUAGAAAAUAAAAUUUUUUGAUAUUAUAUUAUAUUUUUAUUUAUUAAUAUGUUCAUAGUGGAAAUUUUAGAAAUGCCAUCAAAUAUGUUCUAUCGCCAACUAUAAUCCCCCUUAAAAUGGCUCUAGUCUUUCUCUCUCACACAAGAUCCAAACCCUUCAAAGCUAAAGAUCCGCAAUUUCGAAGGUACCUUUACCUCUUAUACCGAUUUACUUUUCCAAUUGAUGUUCUUCAGUCCCUUUUGUUUGUUUCUUUUUUUAGCUGUUCAUUGUUAAUCCACUCUAUAAAUCACUUGCUUUUAUUGAUCUCUACUGAAGCCUUUUAGUCUUUAAAACCAUUUUAUCUGUCUGGGUUUUUCUUGUUUUGUAGAAAUUUCGAUUCUUUUUCAACCAAAUCUAACACUGCAUGAAUCUGGUUUUGCCUUUUCUAUUGACUACUUUGUUUUCUUUUUCCUUUUACAGCUUUUUCCUCCCUUUUUUUUUUAUGUUGGAAAGAGAAUAAUUUUAAUUUUGUUUCUGGGUGGGGUGGUUAACUAUUUGUUAUGGAGAUUUACAAGAUGUUUGCUUUGUUGGGUAUGUUGGGGAUUAGAAACAUCUGUUUUUGGUUCUGAAUCUGAUGCUUUAUUUCAAGGAAAUGGGAACUGGGGCACAUAUUACUUUAUUAGUAUGCUGUGUAAUUGUUUAAAAAAUGGAAACUUUUGCUGGCUCCAUAAGGAAUUUACUGUAAAUCAUUUCUAAUCACAAAGUACUGAGCAUGGCUGGGUAAUAUACCCAAGUGUUUUCUGCACAAGGCCAAAUGGGCUAUCAUAUUUAGCUUGAACAUUUUUUGGCAUAUUAUUGAUAAAUGUUGAGGUAAACAUGUGGUUCUACCAUCAAUCAUGGUGCUUAAUCAUUGAUAUGCAAAAGAAGGGAUGGCGAGAGAGACUCUGACCUAACUUUUGAUUAUAGUAUAAUGUGAAAGUAGAGACAGUCUAGUAGUAGUGGAAAGAGAGUUCUCCUUUAGGGAGAUAAACUUACCAUAUAUGUAGUAAUAGAAAAAUUUUUACAAAGCCCUUGGUAUAAUUUUUUCCCACAACACUAGCCCCCAAUUCCCAAAGCCCGAGCUAGCAUAGGUUGACCAAAGGGAGCAAUUAAGCAAAGGUCUAAUGCACUAGGCCAGGUUGCUGAAGAAGUUGUUUGCAAAUGUGGUUAUCUUCUUAAUGUUGUUGCUUGUGCAAGGUUUAAUUAAGAAACAACAAAGGCUAGCAGUUGGUUUUUUUUCUACAAUCUAUGUCCAGUUGAGGUAGCAUAUUGAAAGAUUCUUAAGAAAUGGCUAGUGGAACAACUUUCCCAAGCGGAAGUGCAAUAGCUGUUGUGAGCCUGCAUAAGAAGAGAACGACAAAUGGUGCAACCUUGAAAGGGCAAUUGGGACCAUGCUCCAGUUUUACAUAGAUGAUGAUCCAUGCCUCAAUAUCUCUCCAAAUGUUGUGCUUCUCAUAAGCAUCAGUUUCAUCGCUUUAGUUGCUAUUCUUCAUGUCAUGGGUAAGCUGUAUUUUGUUUGUA